rnacentral:rRNA from 1 species
CUUGCUUUGAUGGAUGGCGACCGGCGCACGGGUGAGUAACACGUAUCCAACCUGCCGACAACACUGGGAUAGCCUUUCGAAAGAAAGAUUAAUACCGGAUGGCAUAAUUAUUCCGCAUGGGAUAAUUAUUAAAGAAUUUCGGUUGUCGAUGGGGAUGCGUUCCAUUAGGCAGUUGGCGGGGUAACGGCCCACCAAACCUACGAUGGAUAGGGGUUCUGAGAGGAAGGUCCCCCACAUUGGAACUGAGACACGGUCCAAACUCCUACGGGAGGCAGCAGUGAGGAAUAUUGGUCAAUGGACGAGAGUCUGAACCAGCCAAGUAGCGUGAAGGAUGACUGCCCUAUGGGUUGUAAACUUCUUUUAUACGGGAAUAAAGUGAGCCACGUGUGGCUUUUUGUAUGUACCGUAUGAAUAAGGAUCGGCUAACUCCGUGCCAGCAGCCGCGGUAAUACGGAGGAUUCGAGCGUUAUCCGGAUUUAUUGGGUUUAAAGGGAGCGUAGGCGGGUUGUUAAGUCAGUUGUGAAAGUUUGCGGCUCAACCGUAAAAUUGCAGUUGAUACUGGCGACCUUGAGUGCAACAGAGGUAGGCGGAAUUCGUGGUGUAGCGGUGAAAUGCUUAGAUAUCACGAAGAACUCCGAUUGCGAAGGCAGCUUACUGGAUUGU